UACGUAGGUGGCGAGCGUUACUCGGAUUUACUAGGUGUAAAGCGGGUGUAGGUGGGCGUUUAAGUCUUUUGUGAAAGCUCCUUGCCCAACGAGGAGAGGUCAAAAGAUACUGAUCGUCUUGAGUAAGGUAGAGGGGGUUGGAAUUCCCGGUGGAGCGGUGAAAUGCGUAGAUAUCGGGAGGAACACCAAAGGCGAAGGCAGACCCCUGGGCCUUUACUGACACUGAGACCCGAAAGCUAGGGGAGCGAACAGG
rnacentral:rRNA from 1 species